rnacentral:misc_RNA from 1 species
GAUGAAGAACGUAGUGAAAUGCGAUACGUAAUGUGAAUUGCAGAAUUCAGUGAAUCAUCGAAUCUUUGAACGCAUAUUGCGCUCUUUGGUAUUCCGAAGAGCAUGCUUGUUUGAGUAUCAGUAAACACCUCAAAGUCUUUUUUUCUUGAAGAAAAAGACCUUGGACUUGAGCAAUCCCAACUCUUCUUUCAGAAGAGGCGGGUUGCUUGAAAUGCAGGUGCAGCUGGACAUUCUCCUGAGCUAAAAGCAUAUUCAUUUAGUCCCGUCAAACGGAUUAUUACUUUUGCUGCAGCUAACAUAAAGGGAGUUUGACCAUUUUGGCUGACUGAUGCAGGAAUUUCACAAGAGUCUUCAAAACGCUCUUGUUAAACUCGAUCUCAAAUCAAGUAAGACUACCCGCUGAACUUAAGCAUAUCAAUAAGCGGAGGA